rnacentral:lncRNA from 1 species
GGCGCUGGCGAAGGCGGCGUCAAGAUAGCAUUUUGCAGCCGAGCCGCGCUAAUUCGGAUUUUGCUUCUAGAGAGGAAGAAAAGUCGAUUAAUUUGUGCAUAGAUAUAUACGGAUGGAGACAAAAGUAAACAGAUUUGAUUUAGUUCUGGCUCCUUUGAAAACACAGUCAAAUACUACUAGAUGAAAAUUUGAUGCAAAACUUGCAACAGGAAGAAUGAAAUGACC